rnacentral:misc_RNA from 1 species
AUAUUGGACGCCAGCUACUUACAUAUGGUCGGAGAAUUCCGUUUGCUGAAUUGUUCGCUAGAAUUGAUGCUGUUGAUGCAAGUAGUAUUAAACGCGUAGCAAACAGAUUUAUUCAUGACAAGGAUAUUGCAAUUGCUGCCACGGGUCCUAUCCAGGGGUUGCCUGACUACAACUGGUUCAGACGCAGGACCUACUUGAACCGCUACUAGACUCUCAGGCUUUUGUUU